CGGCGGACGGGUGAGUAACGCGUGGGUAACCUACCCUGUACACACGGAUAACAUACCGAAAGGUAAUGCUAAUACGGGAUAAUAUAUUUGAGAGGCAUCUCUUAAAUAUCAAAGGUGAGCCAGUACAGGAUGGACCCGCGUCUGAUUAGCUAGUUGGUAAGGUAACGGCUUACCAAGGCGACGAUCAGUAGCCGACCUGAGAGGGUGAUCGGCCACAUUGGAACUGAGACACGGUCCAA
rnacentral:rRNA from 1 species